CCUACGGGGGGCAGCAGUGGGGAAUAUUGCACAAUGGGGGAAACCCUGAUGCAGCGACGCAGCGUGAGUGAAGAAGUAUUUCGGUAUGUAAAGAUCUAUCAGCAGGGAAGAAAAUGACGGUACAUGACUAAGAAGCCCCGGCUAGCUACGUGCCAGAAGCCGCGGUAAUACGUAGGGGGCAAGGGUUAUUCGGAUUUACGGGGGGGAGAGGGAGCGGAGAACGCAGCGCAAGACUGACGUGAAAUGCCGGGGCUUAACCCCGGACCUGCUUUGGAUACUGGGCAGCUAGAGUGAUGGGGAGGUAAGUGGAAGUCCUUGUGUAGCGGUGAAAUGCGUAGAUAUUAGGAGGAACACCAGCGGCGAAGGCAGCUUACUGGACUGUAACUGACGUUGAGGCUCGAAAGCGUGGGGAGCAAACAGGAUUAGAUACCCCAGUAGUC
rnacentral:rRNA from 1 species